rnacentral:misc_RNA from 1 species
GUAGGUGAACCUGCGGAAGGAUCAUUAACACAAGUACAUUUCUUUUUUACCCAAAGAGAAUGUAUUUUUCACCCCAUUGUGUAAACUUGUUCUCCAGUCUUCCCGGGCGUACUUGGGUUCUUGACCUUAGGGUUAGAAAACAUGCGCCUGUUGGCUUACAAACUUUAUUUCACCCCUUGAACUGUCUUUUGACUGACAUCUGAGUAUGUAUACAUUUUAUUAUGUUGUACACACUCUGCCAUAUAUCAAACGCUGAACAACUCUUAGCAACGGAUAUCUUGGCUCUC